rnacentral:rRNA from 1 species
GAUUAAGUUAUUAAGGGCGCACGGUGGAUGCCUUGGCACUAGAAGCCGAUGAAGGACGUUACUAACGACGAUAUGCUUUGGGGAGCUGUAAGUAAGCUUUGAUCCAGAGAUUUCCGAAUGGGGAAACCCAGCAUGAGUUAUGUCAUGUUAUCGAUAUGUGAAUACAUAGCAUAUCAGAAGGCACACCCGGAGAACUGAAACAUCUUAGUACCCGGAGGAAGAGAAAGAAAAUUCGAUUCCCUUAGUAGCGGCGAGCGAAACGGGAAGAGCCCAAACCAACAAGCUUGCUUGUUGGGGUUGUAGGACACUCUAUACGGAGUUACAAAGGACGACAUUAGACGAAUCAUCUGGAAAGAUGAAUCAAAGAAGGUAAUAAUCCUGUAGUCGAAAAUGUUGUCUCUCUUGAGUGGAUCCUGAGUACGACGGAGCACGUGAAAUUCCGUCGGAAUCUGGGAGGACCAUCUCCUAAGGCUAAAUACUCUCUAGUGACCGAUAGUGAACCAGUACCGUGAGGGAAAGGUGAAAAGCACCCCGGAAGGGGAGUGAAAUAGAACCUGAAACCGUGUGCUUACAAGUAGUCAGAGCCCGUUAAUGGGUGAUGGCGUGCCUUUUGUAGAAUGAACCGGCGAGUUACGAUUUGAUGCAAGGUUAAGCAGUAAAUGUGGAGCCGUAGCGAAAGCGAGUCUGAAUAGGGCGUUUAGUAUUUGGUCGUAGACCCGAAACCAGGUGAUCUACCCUUGGUCAGGUUGAAGUUCAGGUAACACUGAAUGGAGGACCGAACCGACUUACGUUGAAAAGUGAGCGGAUGAACUGAGGGUAGCGGAGAAAUUCCAAUCGAACCUGGAGAUAGCUGGUUCUCUCCGAAAUAGCUUUAGGGCUAGCCUCAAGUGAUGAUUAUUGGAGGUAGAGCACUGUUUGGACGAGGGGCCCCUCUCGGGUUACCGAAUUCAGACAAACUCCGAAUGCCAAUUAAUUUAACUUGGGAGUCAGAACAUGGGUGAUAAGGUCCGUGUUCGAAAGGGAAACAGCCCAGACCACCAGCUAAGGUCCCAAAAUAUAUGUUAAGUGGAAAAGGAUGUGGCGUUGCCCAGACAACUAGGAUGUUGGCUUAGAAGCAGCCAUCAUUUAAAGAGUGCGUAAUAGCUCACUAGUCGAGUGACACUGCGC